UUUUACUCGACCGGUUCCACCAAGCCGUCGCAUUUCGAGACAUGGUCAUUGCGGUGCGGACGAAGAUUUCACAAAACCCGAGAAGCGACUACAGCUGCAAUGGAUACAAUGUCGUCAUCCAUACACGGAACCUGGACAGACCCAUCGUCGGCUCCGUCCUCCAGAGCAUGUGGGGCAUUGCGCCAACACACCUCGCUUGGAGCCUGCAGCACAAUAGCACGCUGGCGGAUUACACAUGGAGCGUCGGCCAGACCCCGUUUG
rnacentral:misc_RNA from 1 species